AUUGAACGCUGGCGGCAUGCCUUACACAUGCAAGUCGAACGGCAGCACGGGUGCUUGCACCUGGUGGCGAGUGGCGAACGGGUGCGUAAUACAUCGGAACAUGUCCUGUAGUGGGGGAUAGCCCGGCGAAAGCCGGAUUAAUACCGCAUACGAUCUACGGAUGAAAGCGGGGGACCUUCGGGCCUCGCGCUAUAGGGUUGGCCGAUGGCUGAUUAGCUAGUUGGUGGGGUAAAGGCCUACCAAGGCGACGUUCAGUAGCUGGUCUGAGAGGACGACCAGACACACUGGGACUGAGACACGGCCCAGACUCCUACGGGAGGCAGCAGUGGGGAAUUUUGGACAAUGGGCGAAAGCCUGAUCCAGCAAUGCCGCGUGGGUGAAGAAGGCCUUCGGGUUGUAAAGCACUUUUGUCCGGAAAGAAAUCCUUGGCUCUAAUACAGUCGGGGGAUGACGGUACCGGAAGAAUAAGCACCGGCUAACUACGU
rnacentral:rRNA from 1 species